ensembl:snRNA U6 U6 spliceosomal RNA
AUGCUCACUUUAGCAGCACAUAUUGUAAAAUUGAAGCCAUACAGAGAAGUUUAGCAUGGCCCCUGCACAAGGAUGACACAAAAUUUGUGAAGCAUCCUAUAUUAUA